rnacentral:rRNA from 1 species
GACGAACGCUGGCGGCGUGCUUAACACAUGCAAGUCGAACGGAAAGGCCCUGCUCUUGUGGGGUGCUCGUGUGGCGAACGGGUGAGUAACACGUGAGUAGCCUGCCCUUUACUGUGGGAUACCUUCAGUGAACUCGGACUCAUACACGAUAUGAACUCCUGCUGCACAAGGUGGGUGGGUGAGUUUCGCCGGUUGGGGAUGGACUCGCGGCUUAUCAGCGUGUUGGUGAGGUAGUGGCUUACCAAGGCUUGGACGGGUAGCCGGCCUGAGAGGGUGACCGGCCACAUAGGCACUGAGGUACGGCCCAGACUGCUACGGGAGGCAGCAGUGGGGAACAUUGCACAAUGGGCGGAAGCCGGAUGCAGCAACGCCGCGUGCGGGAUGACGGCUUUCGGGGUGUAACCCGGGUUCGCCUGGGACGAAGAGUGAGUGACGGUAAUGGGUAAAGAAGCACCGGCUAACUACGUG